GUGCGUGUGUGUCUGGGUGAAUGUGAGGCAUUAUUGUAAAGCGCUUUGCGCAUCUGAUGCAGAUGGAAAACUGCGAUAUAAAUGCCGUCCAUUUACCAUAUGUAAUUCA